UUGGGCACGUUUUUCAUUAACGCUUUUAUUGGUCAAAGGAAAAAAGUGUUUCUAAUUGGAAGCGCUUUUUUGAGUUUUCCCUGAAAACGUUUCUAACUAGAGGUGUUUCUAUCAAAAACAACUCGUUUUUGUAAUUUUUCAAAAAUUUGACCUAUUUCCAUAAUUUAAAAAAAACGACUUUAUUUGGUAAUUUAAUCCCACACGACUGAUACCAUCCAAUAAACAAACAAAAUUAACAAGCAUGAUAAGAAUUCCAAUGUUGCUUAUUUGAGAAUAUAAUUAAUUACCAUAAUUAGAUAGAAUUUU
rnacentral:lncRNA from 1 species